UACGGAGGGUGCAAGCGUUAUCCGGAUUUAUUGGGUUUAAAGGGUACGCAGGCGGGCUGAUAAGUCAAUGGUAAAAUUUACCGGCUCAACCGGUAGUGUGCCAAUGAAACUGUCAGUCUUGAGUGCGGUAGAGGUAGGCGGAAUUUAUGGUGUAGCGGUGAAAUGCAUAGAUACCAUAAAGAAUACCGAUAGGGGAGCCAGCUUACUAGACCGCAACUGACGCUGAGGUACGAAAGCAUGGGUAGCAAACAGG
rnacentral:misc_RNA from 1 species